rnacentral:rRNA from 1 species
GACGAACGCUGGCGGCGUGCUUAACACAUGCAAGUCGAACGGAAAGGCCCUGCUUUUGUGGGGUGCUCGAGUGGCGAACGGGUGAGUAACACGUGAGUAACCUGCCCUUGACUUUGGGAUAACUUCAGGAAACUGGGGCUAAUACCGGAUAGGAGCUCCUGCUGCAUGGUGGGGGUUGGAACGUUUCGGCGGUUGGGGAUGGACUCGCGGCUUAUCAGCUUGUUGGUGGGGUAGUGGCUUACCAAGGCUUUGACGGGUAGCCGGCCUGAGAGGGUGACCGGCCACAUUGGGACUGAGAGACGGCCCAGACUGCUACGGGAGGCAGCAGGGGAGAAUAUUACAAAAUGGGCGGAAGCCUGAGGCAGCGACGCCGCGUGCGGGAUGAAGGCCUUCGGGUUGUAAACCGCUUUCGGCUGUGACGAAGCGUGAGUGACGGUAAUGGGUAAAGAAGCACCGGCUAACUACGUG